rnacentral:lncRNA from 1 species
ACCUGCUUUUCUGAGUAGUGAUGUAAAGCCAGCAGGGCUGGUGACAAGGGCUUGCCUUUCCAAGGCAGGAUUCAUCCCAGGAGAGCGUGGUACACAGCAGUCAACAGCUCUGGCAGUGCUGCAGCUGAAUAAGCAUGAGCCUGGGGUGCUUCCUAACCUAGCUGAAUUCUAAGGAAGAUUGAAUUCUGACUCCUUUUGCACUGGGAAGCCAAGCAACCACACAACUUGCAGGACCUGGGAUAGUUUUCUUCUCAUGGUAAGACUUCCUGGAGUUGUAUUAAAGACUGUCCUGUUCUUUUAAAGUCACUUUAGUACCCUAUGGUGGU